CCCUUAGAUGUUCUGGGCUGCACGCGCGCUACACUGAUGCACUCAACGAGUUUACGACCUUGCCCGAUAGGGUUGGGUAAUCUUUUUAAAAUGCAUCGUGAUGGGGAUAGAUUAUUGCAAUUAUUAAUCUUCAACGAGGAAUUCCUAGUAAGCGCGAGUCAUAAGCUCGCGUUGAUUACGUCCCUGCCCUUUGUACACACCGCCCGUCGCUACUACCGAUUGGAUGGUUUAGUGAGAUCCUCGGAUUGGUCCCGGAGCGGCCUCUGGUCGUGCCGGAGUGCCGAAAAGAAUGUCGAACUUGAUCAUCUAGAGGAAGUAAAAGUCGUAACA
rnacentral:rRNA from 1 species